rnacentral:rRNA from 1 species
UACGGAGGGUGCGAGCGUUGAUCGGAAUAACUGGGCGUAAAGGGCGCGUAGGCGGGCUUUUAAGUGAGAUGUGAAAUCCCCGGGCUUAACCUGGGAAUAGCAUUUCAGACUGGGGGUCUAGAGUACUGUAGGGGGAGGUGGAAUUCCAGGUGUAGCGGUGAAAUGCGUAGAGAUGUGGAGGAAUACCGGUGGCGAAGGCAGCCCCCUGGGCAGGUACUGACGCUCAGGUGCGAAAGCGGGGGGAGCAAACAGG